AUGUUUUUCUUUAUUCUCACAGUUAGGGUUAGGACUCUGCGUAAGAUCCACUUUGUGGUUUUAGUCUUCGCUUUUGUGUGAUGUAGUGGACUGGAAUGUCCCUUUUGAAGAUGUACAUAUUGUAAAUGGUACUUUUUGGAGAUGUAUAAAUGUGAAUAGUAUCUUUUGGUAUUUUGUUUCUUUUAUUGGACAAAUUUAUGAUUGGAGAUGUACUUAAGAGUGAAUGUUUAGUUGUCCAAUAGUAAUGUUAUCUCUGAAGGUAAUGUGAGUGAAUGAG
rnacentral:lncRNA from 1 species